UUUUUAAUGGCUAGCAGUUUAUGGAGAGAUGUCGUGGCUGGACAGACACCUUCUUCUUACAAGGCCAUUGCUACUCUUUUGGCAGCAACCACUGAGGAGCUUCUGUUGGGAGCCCCUUUCUUUGCAUUUGAGAAAACACACACCCUCCUACUUCAGCAAGCAGCUCAAUCUCUUCCUGCAACUGACGGUAACCGAGAUUGAAUGAGAGUGUAAUACACCACAAUUCCUACUCACCAGAGGUGUUUUGGUAAAGCUGCUGUCAUUACAGAUUUCAUCAAUAAUGUCGUCUAGAUCUUCUUCACUGCUGUCAGCACUCAGAAACAGUUCAGCUGAUCUGAAAACCAAACAAAUCAGCCUUCAUUCUGUAGCAUGACCAAAGCAGUUCUAACAAUUUUAAGUUAAAAUUAAUUACAGCCUUUUUCCUGUAAUAUUUCUGUAGUAUCUAAGGAAGGCCAUCCAAAUAAUGACUGGAGAGAUGUAAACUGCAGGAUGGUGCCUUUCAGUCCCUGCUGAACUGUCUCAUCAUAGGUCUUAUUUUUGGUUGCUUCUUUUAUUUCCAGCCACUUCCAACCCUGAAUAAAAGUAU